GACAGAGGUGCCGAGCGUUAGGCGGAAUCACUGGGCUUAAAGCGUGUGUAGGCGGAUCGUUAAGUGCCUUGUGAAAUCCCACGGCUCAACCGUGGAACUGCUUGGCAUACUGGCGAUCUUGAGCCACUUAGGGGCUACCGGAACAAAUGGGUGGAGCGGUGAAAUGCGUAGAUAUCAUUUGGAACGCCAUGGUGAAAACAGGUAGCUGGGAGUGUGCUGACGCUGAGACACGAAGCCAGGGGAGCAAACGGG
rnacentral:rRNA from 1 species